AAUCUUGAUGCUUCAUAUAACCAAAGCAUCCGCCUGAGAACUACGAGCACAAACGCUUAAAACUCUAAGGACUUGGCGGUGUCCCAAACCCACCUAGAGGAGCCUGUUCUAUAAUCGAUAACCCACGAUACACCCGACCACUUCUUGCCAAAACAGCCUACAUACCGCCGUCGCCAGCUCACCUCUUUUGAGAGCGCCACAGUGAGCACAAUCGCCCUAACCCCGCUAACAAGACAGGUCAAGGUAUAGCUCAUGAAGUGGAAGAAAUGGGCUACAUUUUCUAGCUUAGAAAACUCACGAAAAGGGGCAUGAAAUAGCCCCUAGAAGGCGGAUUUAGCAGUAAAGCGGGAUAACAUAAGCCCCCUUUAAGCCGGCCCUGGGGCACGUACACAC
rnacentral:rRNA from 1 species